UCGCUUGGGGAUGAGCUCGCGUCCCAUUAGUUAGUUGGUGAGGUAAUGGCUCACCAAGACGAUGAUGGGUAGCUGGUCUGAGAGGAUGGUCAGCCACACUGGGGCUGAGACACUGCCCAGACUCCUACGGGAGGCUGCAGUCGAGAAUCUUGGGCAAUGCGCGAAAGCGUGACCCAGCAAUGCCGCGUGUAUGAUGAAGGUCUUUUGAUUGUAAACUACUGUCAUGAGGGAAAAGGACAGGGUGUCUAAUAAAUACCCGUGUUUGAUUGUACUUCAAGAGGAAGUCGCGGCUAACUCUGUGCCAGCAGCCGCGGUAAUACAGAGGCGACGAGCGUUGUUCGGAUUUACUGGGCGUAAAGCGUGCGCAGGCGGUUAGUCAUGUUGGAUGUGAAAUCCCGGAGCUCAGCUCCGGAAGUGCAUCCAAAACCGGCUAACUCGAGUCUGGGAGGGGAGUUUGGAACACAUGGUGUAGCGGUGAAAUGCGUUGAUAUCAUGUGGAACACCGGUAGCGAAGGCGAAAUUCUGGACCAGUACUGACGCUCAAGCACGAAAGCGUGGGGAGCAACCAGGAUUAGAUACCCUGGUAGUCCACGCCGUAAACGAUGUCAAUUUGAAGCUUGUUUCGAUAAGAAGCGGGUUUCGUAGCCUAACGCGCUAAAUUGACCGCCUGGGGAGUACGGCCGCAAGGUUAAAACUCAAAUGAAUUGACGGGGGCCCGCACAAGCGGUGGAGCAUGUGGUUUAAUUCGAUGCAACGCGAAGAACCUUACCUGAACUUGACAUAGUGAGAAUCUGGUAGAGAUACCUUAGUGCCGCAAGGAGCUCACAUACAGGUGCUGCAUGGCGGUCGUCAGCUCGUGUCGUGAGAUGUUGGGUUAAGUCCCGCAACGAGCGCAACCCUCGUUCUUUGUUGCCAGCACGUAGAGGUGGGAACUCAAAGAAGACUGCCGGUGAUGAACCGGAGGAAGGCAGGGAUGACGUCAAGUCAUCAUGGCCCUUACGUUCAGGGCUACACACGUGCUACAAUGGGUUGUACAGAGGGAAGCGAACUUGCGAGAGUAAGCGGAUCCCUUAAAGCAACUCGUAGUCCGGAUUGGAGUCUGCAACUCGACUCCAUGAAGUCGGAAUCGCUAGUAAUCGCGAAUCAGAAUGUCGCGGUGAAUACGUUCCCGGGCCUUGCACACACCGCCCGUCA
rnacentral:rRNA from 1 species